AAAAUUGUUACAAAUAUUUGAGUAGUUUUUUAGUGUCUUCCAGAAUAGCUGUACUAUUUCCACUGACAAUGUAUGAGAGUUACACUUACUUCACAUUCUCCUUAGCACUUGGUAUUGUUAGUUUUUUGGGUUUGUUUUUGGUGUAUUAUAUUGAACCCAGGGCCUUGCCCAUGCUAGGCAAGCACUUUACCACUGAGCUACAUCCUCAGCCCUGUUUAUUUUAAGCUGUUCUAAAUGAUGUACAGUGGAACUAUGACUUUAAUUUUCAUUUCCCUAUUAAGUGUUGAUAUUAAGAUCUUUUCAUGUGCUUUUUUGUCAUCUGUAAAUCUUUGGUGAAGUGUCUUUAUAUCUGACCGUUUAAAAGGGGUUAUUAAAAAUAAAAGGGUUAUUUUCUUAUUUUUGAGUUGUGAAAAGUUCUUUACGUACUUAUUUUCUUUAGAUACUAAUAGCGGUACAUGGAUUUAUUUUAAUCAUCACAAUAAUCCUUUGCAGUAGGUACUAUUAGUCUAUAUCAUAGAAAAAAUGAUGGCAUAAGAUUAAGUGAUUGCCCAAAAUUACACAGUAAUAGGUAGCAGAAUUAGAUUUUGAACCCAAGUAGAUUGUAGAACCUGUGCUAAAUCAUUUGCUUAUUUUUUUCCUUGAUACACUACUAUGCAGGUAUUGAUUGGGGGAGGUACUGUGAAUAAAACUGGGAUCCAGUUUCUGUAGUUGGUACACUAUUUCUAAUAGGUAUAUUGCAGAGGAAAGGGGCAGUAUGUGCUCGCUUCGGCAGGACAUAUACUAAAAUAGGAAAAGGGCAGUAUAUUGAAAUAAUAAACUUGGAAUCAUCUCCUUAGGAAUACUUGUUUGAAUGGAAGAGGGGUAAUUAUUUGUACUUUAAGUCUCUCCUGUGUAUUUUUGUUUUGUUUUGUUUUGUUUUUGGUACGGGGGAUGGAACUCAGGACCUGUGCUUGCAAGGCAGGCACAGCGCAACUGAACUAAAUCCCUGGCCCCUCUUCUGUGUACAUACGGAUGAUCAAAAGUAUUUAUACUCCAGAUUUACUUAUUAUUAAGUAAUGAAGUGACUGAGAUGAAUGUAAUUUUUCAGUAGCAGAGCUCAUCUAUUAAUGUAUCUGUACAUCAUAAAAAACCCUAACAAACUUGAUGUUGUGUUUGAAAACCUGUACCAUACUAACGCUGAUAGCAAGACACACAGUAUAUGAUGAUAUACUGAGGGAAUAUGCACAACUUGUUGGCAUUACAGAAUGGCUUCAAAUUCAAGCACUUUUUAAGUUAUAUGUAGUUUUAUAAGGUCUUUUUAAAAAAGUCUUAUUAUCAACUCUAUUGUUUGUUCUGAUUGACAUCUUUUUACUAUUGCCCUUUUUCAUUCUUUAUAAUUUGUAUUUCUAAAAAGCUAAAAGAUGAUAUUAGGCAUGCAUGGAUAUUUUCCAAAAUAAGUUUCAGCUGUAGGAAAUGAUUUGGGGGUUUUCCAGUGAACAGUGGACUUCCUUUGACUGCUCAGAGAACCUUGUUUCUUGGUGUUUGAAUUCUGAAUAACUGGGUUAAAUGUGACAUUUGACUAUAGAAAAAGUAAUGUAUUUUUGCAUAAUUUUAAUGAACAGUUUGUUAAACCAUGGAGAUUAUUUCAGUAAAAAGAUAAACAGCAAUGUUCAGUGGAAUGGAAUAAAUAGGCAAUUACUAACGUAGGUUUAUAGUCAUAUUUUUUAGCAGUUUGGGAAGUUCCUAAGUCAGUGACAGCUUGUUCUCUCAUCUGUGUCUCUAGUAAAGCAGAAUAAGUACUCUCAAGUAGUUAACUAAGGGAAGAAAAAUCUUGCUAAAUUGUUUUUACUCUGCUGCUAUGAUUUGGAAAUAGUUAUAUACUAUAAUUGCAUUGCUUUUUUAUGGAGUUUUAUCAAGCUUGAAGUUCUUUUCAAAAUCAUUUUGCUAAUUUGGACUUUCUACUAUGAAUUUUAAAAAUUUUAUAAACCAUAUUAAUUCACAUUUAUUUUUCCACUGAACUUUGAAUUUUCUAGUGGAUUUUAUCUAUUUAGAGAAACUCUAAAUCUGCAUCUACUAUUGCAGUUUGCUAGCUUUUCCAGAUUACACAGCAAUAUAUUCCUUUCAUAUAAGGGUUAAUGAGUAGCCAGAUAAGACCCACCAGUCCAUUGUUACAUUAAAAGCCACAGUUUACUGUCUUCUAUCUUCUCUCAUCCUUUUUGCCAUUCAUAGUUGGAUUUAUUUGAUAUAUAAAAAUUAGUUUUAAAAAUUGAGGUUUUAUAUUUUAAAACAAUAUACAGUAUUUAAUUUUGCUUUCUUGUAGAUUCUCAUUCUAUUUAUUGUUAAUUUUAAAUUAUAGCAAUUAACAUGAGUUUAUUAAUGGUUUAAUCAAGGAUAGAUCUUGCUCCUUUGAUUUACCUCCCUCCUUGUCUUGUUAAUCCCCUUCCUUCCUUUUUUACCUUUAUAUUUGUAUGUUUGACCUAGCCCAAUAAUUGGGUCCACAGCAACAUGGGCGUGUCUCCCUUAGAAACACUUAGUUUCAUGUGUGACUCAUAAGCUGAAGCACAGACACCACUUCCCCAAUCUACCGGAGCCAUUUUAACAGCAUAAAACUUGCCGGAUUGCUUUUUAUUUUCAAGCCCAAAAGGUGAAAUCUAAAGAGAAAGAAUGUUUGAAGAGACAGAGUCUUGGUGAAUUGCCCAGUUUCACCCACCCGAGUAGCUGCAAUUACAGGUAUGCACCACAAAGCCCAAGGAUAAUCUUUUCUGUAUUGUUUUACCCCUUUGAACUUUUUGUAAAUAGAAUCACAUCAUAUAUAUUCCAUAAUGAUUUGCUUCUUUCAUUCAACUCUGAAAUUCAU
rnacentral:lncRNA from 1 species